rnacentral:rRNA from 1 species
ACCCACCUGUUCCCAUGCCGAACACAGUCGUUAAGCUUCUUAGCGCCGAUGGUAAUGAAGACGUUGUCUUUGUGAGAGUAGGUCGUUGCCACGC